rnacentral:rRNA from 1 species
UACAGAGGGUGCGAGCGUUGUCCGGAAUCACUGGGCGUAAAGGGCGCGUAGGCGGCUUGAUAAGCGUGCGGUGAAAGCCCGGGGCUCAACCCCGGGUCGGCCGUGCGAACUGUCGAGCUGGAGCACUGUAGAGGCAGGUGGAAUUCCGGGUGUAGCGGUGGAAUGCGUAGAGAUCCGGAAGAACACCGGUGGCGAAGGCGGCCUGCUGGGCAGUGGCUGACGCUGAGGCGCGACAGCCAGGGGAGCGAACGGG